AGCAACAGUGCAAGCUUGGCUCGCAUCGAGAAGGGGCUGGGCCAAAAGGUGAGCAGUGUUACUGUUGAGAGUAGAUGCUAAGGUAGAUGCUUAGCUAGGCAGUUAGGAUGAUGUGGCAUUAGGCAGUUGCCACAGCCCGUGUAUACAUAGCUUCAUAUAUACAAUAUGAGCAGUCGUUGCCAACAGUCGCUGCCUUUUUUAUCAUGGUAUCAGAGCACAGAUCUUGAGGACCUGUGAAGGAUGAAGAAGAAGAAGAAGCUUCCAAAUGCCAACGGCAGAAGCAGAGUAGCCUAGAGCGCAGCAACAAAGCAAUGGCAGAGCCAUACCAGCAGCGAGGAGUGGCAGAUAGUGACUCAGAAGCCCUGGAGCGGCAGAAGAUGUUGAUAUGCUCCAAGAGAGGAGCAGCAGAGCAGCCAAGAAGCCCAGGAGCAGCAGAGCAGUGACUCAGCAGGCCGAGAAGCAGAACGGCCAAGAUGCUUGAAGAGACGAGCAGCAGCAGCCAAGUGAGCGGCAGCAGAUAGCAGCGGCAGAGUUGGCUGAGAAGCCCAGCAGUGGCAAAAGAGCUCCAAGAGAGGAGCCAAAGGAGCGAUGGCAAAAGAGCUCCAAGAGAGGAGCCAAAGGAGCGAUGACAAAGCAGCCAAGAGUGGCAGAGGCAGCAAGCCCUAGAGCAACAAGAUGUAGUUGCUUUGAGUGGGAGUCAGUGUCAGUUGUAUGCAUGCUGAGCAUCUUAUGUUCAGGCUUUGUCUUAGUUUGUAGACACGCCUGAGUGGGAGUGUUGAGAGUAGAUGCUAAGGUAGAUGCUUAGCUAGGCAGUUAGGAUGAUGUGGCAUUAGGCAGUUGCCACAGCCCGUGUAUACAUAGCUUCAUAUAUACAAUAUGAGCAGUCGUUGCCAACAGUCGCUGCCUUUUUU
rnacentral:lncRNA from 1 species